rnacentral:rRNA from 1 species
CCUACGGGUGACUGCAGUGGGGGAUAUUGCACAAUGGGGGGAACCCUGAUGCAGCGACGCCGCGUGGGUGAAGAAGCGCCUCGGCGCGUAAAGCCCUGUCAGCAGGGAAGAAAAUGACGGUACCUGAAGAAGAAGCCCCGGCUAACUACGUGCCAGCAGCCGCGGUAAUACGUAGGGAGCGAGCGUUGUCCGGAAUUACUGGGUGUAAAGGGAGCGUAGGCGGGACUGCAAGUUGGGUGUCAAAUCUACCGGCUCAACCGGUAGCCGCACUCAAAACUGCAGUUCUUGAGUGAAGUAGAGGCAGGCGGAAUUCCUAGUGUAGCGGUGAAAUGCGUAGAUAUUAGGAGGAACACCAGUGGCGAAGGCGGCCUGCUGGGCUUUUACUGACGCUGAGGCUCGAAAGUGUGGGGAGCAAACAGGAUUAGAUACCCCAGUAGUC